rnacentral:rRNA from 1 species
AUGAACGCUAGCUACAGGCUUAACACAUGCAAGUCGAGGGGCAGCAUCAUCAAAGCUUGCUUUGAUGGAUGGCGACCGGCGCACGGGUGAGUAACACGUAUCCAACCUGCCGACAACACUGGGAUAGCCUUUCGAAAGAAAGAUUAAUACCGGAUGGCAUAGUUUUCCCGCAUGGGAUAAUUAUUAAAGAAUUUCGGUUGUCGAUGGGGAUGCGUUCCAUUAGGCAGUUGGCGGGGUAACGGCCCACCAAACCUACGAUGGAUAGGGGUUCUGAGAGGAAGGUCCCCCACAUUGGAACUGAGACACGGUCCAAACUCCUACGGGAGGCAGCAGUGAGGAAUAUUAGUCAAUGGACGAGAGUCUGAACCAGCCAAGUAGCGUGAAGGAUGACUGCCCUAUGGGUUGUAAACUUCUUUUAUACGGGAAUAAAGUGAGCCACGUGUGGCUUUUUGUAUGUACCGUAUGAAUAAGGAUCGGCUAACUCCGUGCCAGCAGCCGCGGUAAUACGGAGGAUCCGAGCGUUAUCCGGAUUUAUUGGGUUUAAAGGGAGCGUAGGCGGGUUGUUAAGUCAGUUGUGAAAGUUUGCGGCUCAACCGUAAAAUUGCAGUUGAUACUGGCGACCUUGAGUGCAACAGAGGUAGGCGGAAUUCGUGGUGUAGCGGUGAAAUGCUUAGAUAUCACGAAGAACUCCGAUUGCGAAGGCAGCUUACUGGAUUGUAACUGACGCUGAUGCUCGAAAGUGUGGGUAUCAAACAGGAUUAGAUACCCUGGUAGUCCACACAGUAAACGAUGAAUACUCGCUGUUGGCGAUAUACAGUCAGCGGCCAAGCGAAAGCAUUAAGUAUUCCACCUGGGGAGUACGCCGGCAACGGUGAAACUCAAAGGAAUUGACGGGGGCCCGCACAAGCGGAGGAACAUGUGGUUUAAUUCGAUGAUACGCGAGGAACCUUACCCGGGCUUAAAUUGCAACUGACGGAACCGGAAACGGUUCUUUCUUCGGACAGUUGUGAAGGUGCUGCAUGGUUGUCGUCAGCUCGUGCCGUGAGGUGUCGGCUUAAGUGCCAUAACGAGCGCAACCCUUACGGGUAGUUACCAUCAGGUUAUGCUGGGGACUCUACCCGGACUGCCGUCGUAAGAUGUGAGGAAGGUGGGGAUGACGUCAAAUCAGCACGGCCCUUACGUCCGGGGCUACACACGUGUUACAAUGGGGGGUACAGAAGGCAGCUACACGGCGACGUGGUGCUAAUCCCAAAAGCCUCUCUCAGUUCGGAUUGGAGUCUGCAACCCGACUCCAUGAAGCUGGAUUCGCUAGUAAUCGCGCAUCAGCCACGGCGCGGUGAAUACGUUCCCGGGCCUUGUACACACCGCCCGUCAAGCCAUGAAAGCCGGGGGUACCUGAAGUACGUAACCGCGAGGAGCGUCCUAGGGUAAAACUGGUGAUUGGGGCU